CCUACGGGAGGCAGCAGUGGGGAAUAUUGGACAAUGGGGGGAACCCUGAUCCAGCCAUGCCGCGUGUGUCAAGAAGGCCCUCGGGUUGUAAAGCACUUUCAGUGAGGAAGAACGCCUGGUGGUUAAUACCCAUCAGGAAAGACAUCACUCACAGAAGAAGCACCGGCUAACUCCGUGCCAGCAGCCGCGGUAAUACGGAGGGUGCGAGCGUUAAUCGGAAUUACUGGGCGUAAAGCGCGCGUAGGUGGCUUGAUAAGCCGGUUGUGAAAGCCCCGGGCUCAACCUGGGAACGGCAUCCGGAACUGUCAAGCUAGAGUGCAGGAGAGGAAGGUAGAAUUCCCGGUGUAGCGGUGAAAUGCGUAGAGAUCGGGAGGAAUACCAGUGGCGAAGGCGGCCUUCUGGACUGACACUGACACUGAGGUGCGAAAGCGUGGGUAGCAAACAGGAUUAGAUACCCUGGUAGUC
rnacentral:rRNA from 1 species